GUCAAAUUAUUUACUAGAAAAAACAUUUUUAUGAAGGGAAAAUAAUAUAUGUGAGUUUAAAUAGGAGACAGGAUUCAAAUUUUCAUCAUUUCACAAAAUGCAUCUCCAUCUGAAUUGUCGUGUGCUUUUUGUGAUAGAGAAGAGAAUGAGGAGCAAGCAAGAGUCCAUGUUCCUGUUAAGCCCUGGCCGUCCUUCUCAUCCACGGUGCUGCCUGUGGAGAACACACCUGGGGCUCCUCUGAGCCUGCUUGUGCUAUGUGUCACUCGGAUAGUUCCGCAACCGACUCGCGUGCAACAGGCAGUAAACACCGAUGUCGUGAAUGAACGAAGAAACUACCACAAAGAGGAAACGAGGCACUUUUGUCCCUGCACGUCAUUCUAACCAUGGGAUUGUGGGUCCUGAGUAGGACCCAAGUGAUCAGAAAGGAUAUCACAUAGUCAGUGAUCAGCUGAGACUAAGUACGGACAGGGGAAGAAGAAUAUCCACUAGACUUUCACAAGUCACCAGUCAUGGAUUUCAGGAUCUGACUGCUUGUCAUCUUGGGAGACGUCAAGAUCUGACUGCUUGUCUUCAUGGGAGAUGUCAGGAUCUGAGUGCUUGUCACCACGGGAGACAUCAGGAUCUGACUGCUUGUCAUCUUGGGAGACGUCAGGAUCUGACUGCUUGUCAUCACGGGAGACGUCAGGAUCUGACUGCUUGUCAUCUUGGGAGAUGUCAGGAUCUGAGUGCUUGUUACCACGGGAGACAUCAGGAUCUGACUGCUUGUCAUCUUGGGAGACGUCAGGAUCUGACUGCUUGUCUUCAUGGGAGACGUCAGGUUCUGAGUUCCUGAAUGUAUCCUCCGUCUACAUGAGAGAGGGGGCUCUGGUCCUGACUUGGCUUCCUCCUGUCUUUGCUGAUGGAAGCUGGGUUUUGAUGAGAAACUUCUCCUGGCAUGCUAAGGUCUACUGACAGCAAAUGUAAAGUCUUAGAGGUCGAAGGCCUUGAUGACUGCCUUUCCUGACCGUGCACUGUUUCUAGUGAGUUUAAUUUAAUACAAAGCAAAACAAGUUUGAUAAUAGCCUCUGGCUGACUGCUGGAACCCACCACACACAGGAAUUCAUGACUGAGGGACAGCAGGGGCACUUCUCUCAUCACACAUGAUGCGCAGGCCACCCAGCGAGGCACCUCAUCUCCAGGUUGACAGUUCCUGGCUGA
rnacentral:lncRNA from 1 species